UUGCUCUUCCAAUCUAGGCAACCCCCGACUCCAGUAUUGGCCCUUUUCCACCAGUGACCUUUACAACUGGAAAACGCAGAACGCUCGAUUCUCUGAUAACCCUAAAGAUCUAAUAGCUCUUUUAGACAGUGUCAUGUUCACCCACCAGCCCACCUGGGACGACUGUCAGCAGCUCCUCCGCAUCCUGUUCACUACAGAGGAGCGAGAGAGGAUCCAAUUAGAAGCAAGAAAGCUGGUUCCCAGAGAUGACAGUCGCCUGACAUCUAACCCUGACCUCAUUAAUGUGGCUUUCCCCCUAACCAGGCCUCCACAGGACAAGCGGGACUACAACACGGCAGAAGGCAGGGGAAGGCUACUCAUUUAUCGCCAGACUCUAAUGGCGGGUCUCCGGGCUGCAGCUUGCAAGCCCACCAAUUUGGCUAAGGUAUAUUCGGUUG